GAAAGCGUAAUAGCUCACUAGUCGAGUCGGCCUGCGCGGAAGAUGUAACGGGGCUCAAAUAUAGCACCGAAGCUGCGGCAUCAGUAGCAAUACUGUUGGGUAGGGGAGCGUUCUGUAAGCGGAUGAAGGUGGCUCGAGAGGGUUGCUGGACGUAUCAGAAGUGCGAAUGCUGACAUAAGUAACGAUAAAACGGGUGAAAAACCCGUUCGCCGGAAGACCAAGGGUUCCUGUCCAACGUUAAUCGGGGCAGGGUGAGUCGGCCCCUAAGGCGAGGCUGAAAAGCGUAGUCGAUGGGAAACGGGUUAAUAUUCCCGUACUUGGAUAAACUGCGAUGUGGGGACGGAGUAGGUUAGGUUAUCGCACUGUUGGAUAUGUGCGUUUAAGUUUGUAGGUGUGAAGUUUAGGCAAAUCCGGACUUCUUUAACACUGAGAGAUGAUGACGAGGCUCUACGGAGCUGAAGUAACCGAUACCACACUUCCAGGAAAAGCCACUAAGCUUCAGGUUUAUCUAAACCGUACUGAAAACCGACACAGGUGGUCAGGUAGAGAAUACUCAGGCGCUUGAGAGAACUCGGGUGAAGGAACUAGGCAAAAUAGCACCGUAACUUCGGGAGAAGGUGCGCCGGCGUAGAUUGUAGUCCCUUGCGGAUGAAGGUUGAACCGGUCGAAGAUACCAGCUGGCUGCAACUGUUUAUUAAAAACACAGCACUCUGCAAACACGAAAGUGGACGUAUAGGGUGUGAUGCCUGCCCGGUGCUGGAAGGUUAAUUGAUGGUGUAAUCGAAAGAGAAGCUCCUGAUCGAAGCCCCAGUAAACGGCGGCCGUAACUAUAACGGUCCUAAGGUAGCGAAAUUCCUUGUCGGGUAAGUUCCGACCUGCACGAAUGGCAUAAUGAUGGCCAGGCUGUCUCCACCCGAGACUCAGUGAAAUUGAAAUCGCCGUGAAGAUGCGGUGUACCCGCGGCUAGACGGAAAGACCCCGUGAACCUUUACUAUAGCUUGACACUGAACAUUGAAUUUUGAUGUGUAGGAUAGGUGGGAGACUUUGAAGUAGUCACGCCAGUGAUUAUGGAGUCGUCCUUGAAAUACCACCCUUUAACGUUUGAUGUUCUAACGAAGAUUACGAAACGUGGUCUCGGACAGUGUCUGGUGGGUAGUUUGACUGGGGCGGUCUCCUCCCAAAGAGUAACGGAGGAGCACGAAGGUUUGCUAAUGACGGUCGGACAUCGUCAGGUUAGUGCAAUGGUAUAAGCAAGCUUAACUGCGAGACAGACAAGUCGAGCAGGUACGAAAGUAGGUCAUAGUGAUCCGGUGGUUCUGAAUGGAAGGGCCAUCGCUCAACGGAUAAAAGGUACUCCGGGGAUAACAGGCUGAUACCGCCCAAGAGUUCAUAUCGACGGCGGUGUUUGGCACCUCGAUGUCGGCUCAUCACAUCCUGGGGCUGAAGUAGGUCCCAAGGGUAUGGCUGUUCGCCAUUUAAAGUGGUACGCGAGCUGGGUUUAGAACGUCGUGAGACAGUUCGGUCCCUAUCUGCCGUGGGCGUUGGAGAAUUGAUUGGGGCUGCUCCUAGUACGAGAGGACCGGAGUGGACGCACCACUGGUGUUCCGGUUGUGUCGCCAGACGCAUUGCCGGGUAGCUAAGUGCGGAAGAGAUAAGUGCUGAAAGCAUCUAAGCACGAAACUUGCC
rnacentral:rRNA from 1 species